GAUGAACGCUGGCGGCGUGCCUAAUACAUGCAAGUCGAGCGAAUGGAUUAAGAGCUUGCUCGUAUGAAGUUAGCGGCGGACGGGUGAGUAACACGUGGGUAACCUGCCCAUAAGACUGGGAUAACUCCGGGAAACCGGGGCUAAUACCGGAUAACAUUUUGAACCGCAUGGUUCGAAAUUGAAAGGCGGCUUCGGCUGUCACUUAUGGAUGGACCCGCGGAGCAUUAGCUAGUGGGUGAGGUAACGGCUCACCAAGGCAACGAUGCGUAGCCGACCUGAGAGGGUGAUCGGCCACACUGGGACUGAGACACGGCCCAGACUCCUACGGGAGGCAGCAGUAGGGAAUCUUCCGCAAUGGACGAAAGUCUGACGGAGCAACGCCGCGUGAGUGAUGAAGGCUUUCGGGUCGUAAAACUCUGUUGUUAGGGAAGAACAAGUGCUAGUUGAAUAAGCUGGCACCUUGACGGUACCUAACCAGAAAGCCACGGCUAACUACGUGCCAGCAGCCGCCGUAA
rnacentral:rRNA from 1 species